rnacentral:rRNA from 1 species
UACGGGGGGGGCAAGCGUUGUUCGGAAUUACUGGGCGUAAAGGGCGCGUAGGCGGCCUUCUAAGUCGGACGUGAAAUCCCUCGGCUUAACCGAGGAACUGCGUCCGAUACUGAAAGGCUUGAAUCCGGGAGAGGGAUGUGGAAUUCCAGGUGUAGCGGUGAAAUGCGUAGAUAUCUGGAGGAACACCGGUGGCGAAGGCGGCAUCCUGGACCGGCAUUGACGCUGAGGCGCGAAGGCGUGGGGAGCGAACGGG